GAUGAACGCUGGCGGCGUGCCUAAUACAUGCAAGUCGAGCGAACAGAUGAGGAUCUUGCUCCUCUGACGUUAGCGGCGGACGGGUGAGUAACACGUGGAUAACCUACCUAUAAGACUGGUAUAACCUCGGGAAACCGGAGCUAAUACCGGAUAAUAUAUUGAACCGCAUGGUUCAAUAGUGAAAGACGGUUUUGCUGUCACUUAUAGAUGGAUCCGCGCCGCAUUAGCUAGUUGGGAAGGUAACGGCUUACCAAGGCAACGAUGCGUAGCCGACCUGAGGGGGUGAUCGGCCACACUGGAACUGAGACACGGUCCAGACUCCUACGGGAGGCAGCAGUAGGGAAUCUUCCGCAAUGGGCGAAAGCCUGACGGAGCAACGCCGAGUGAGUGAUGAAGGUCUUCGGAUCGUAAAACUCUGUUAUGAGGGAAGAACAAAUGUGUAAGUAACUAUGCACGUCUUGACGGUACCUAAUCAGAAAGCCACGGCUAACUACGUG
rnacentral:rRNA from 1 species